UACGUAGGGUGCGAGCGUUGUCCGGAAUUACUGGGCGUAAAGAGCUCGUAGGUGGUUUGUCGCGUUGUUCGUGAAAACUCACAGCUUAACUGUGGGCGUGCGGGCGAUACGGGCAGACUGGAGUACUGCAGGGGGAGACUGGAAUUCCUGGUGUAGCGGUGGAAUGCGCAGAUAUCAGGAGGAACACCGAUGGCGAAGGCAGGUCUCUGGGCCGAUACUGACGCUGAGGAGCGAAAGCGUGGGGAGCGAACAGG
rnacentral:rRNA from 1 species